UACAGAGGUCCCGAGCGUUGUUCGGAUUCAUUGGGCGUAAAGGGUGCGUAGGCGGUCUGCUAAGUUUGAUGUGAAAUCCCGGGGCUCAACCCUGGAAUUGCAUUGAAUACUGGUAGACUAGGGUACCGGAGAGGAAACUGGAAUUUACGGUGUAGCAGUGAAAUGCGUAGAGAUCAUAAGGAAGACCAGUGGCGAAGGCGAGUUUCUGGACGGUAACUGACGCUGAGGCACGAAGGCCAGGGGAGCAAACGGG
rnacentral:rRNA from 1 species